UUUUAUUUGAGAGUUUGAUCCUGGCUCAGGAUGAACGCUGGCGGCGUGCCUAACACAUGCAAGUUGAGCGAUUUACUUCGGUAAAGAGCGGCGGACGGGUGAGUAACGCGUGGGUAACCUACCCUGUACACACGGAUAACAUACCGAAAGGUAUGCUAAUACGGGAUAAUAUAUUUGAGAGGCAUCUCUUGAAUAUCAAAGGUGAGCCAGUACAGGAUGGACCCGCGUCUGAUUAGCUAGUUGGUAAGGUAACGGCUUACCAAGGCGACGAUCAGUAGCCGACCUGAGAGGGUGAUCGGCCACAUUGGAACUGAGA
rnacentral:rRNA from 1 species